CCUUUAUUUGGGUUUCCUCUAUCCUUUUUGCGUUUGAUUGGGAGUUUAUAAAUUAGGGUUCUUGGGAUGUGAGAGUCGAUCUUCCUAAUGCUAGCGGCGACAGCCAAAAACAACAUCGGCAAAAUUCUGCAGAAGAAGGGCACCGUCGUUCUUCCUCCUCUCUCUUUCAAGCUCAAGGUGGUACUGAAAUUGGAUUUACAUAAGGACAAAGAAAAGCAAGAGGCCUUGAAAGCAGUCUCCAGCCUUACAGGCACAUUCAUCAGAAUCAGACUGAAUGGGAAUGGAAAUUUGUCCAAUACUAUGUUUUUAUAGAAGAAGAAGAAGCUCAGAAGUCUGAUACGUUAAGCAACUCCAUCUGAAAGCGGAAGAAUCCAAAGGAACUGCGAUCCAGUGGCUGGAUGGAAGAAAAGGACAAUGCAAGCUCUCUUUCUCACAGUAGCUCCGUGUUCCUCUCCCCCCAAACCUAAUGGCUUCAGCCCAAUUUGGAGCCUGCUUAGAUCGG